UAUCAGGUUGAUUCUGCCUGACGUGGAUGCUCGCCUUAAAGACUAAGCCAUGCAAGUUUGUGAGUUGAGCAGCGAACGGCUCAGUAGAACAGUGAACUCUAACGCACGGAAUAGAUAACCGCGGGAAACUGCGGCUAAGAAGUGUGAUGAGGCACUGACCUAUCAGCUUGUCGGUACGGUAAGUGCGUACGGAGGCGAUGACGGGUAACGGAGGAUUUUGUCCGAUUCCGGAGAGGGAGCCUGAGAGACGGCUGCCACGUCCAAGGACGGCAGCAGGCGCGAAAAUUACCCAAUGAGCAUUGAGGUAGUGACGAGGCGUAGAAUGUGAGUCGAGAGUAAAGAUAUCGACGAGAGCGACUGGAGGGCAAGUCUGGUGCCAGCAGCCGCGGUAAUUCCAGCUCCAGGGGCGUCUGUGUGUGUUGCUGCGGUUAAAAAGCGCGUAGUCGGCAGUGUAGCGGGUCAUUGUGGUGUGGAAUUCAGAUACACUGUGCGACUUUUGCUCAUUGCUAGGGAGCGUGAGACGCUGGUGGUAUUCGGUAGCGAGGGGUGAAAACUGCAGACCUACCGAGGAGCGACAGAGGCGUAAGCGGCCAGCGAGUGCGGAUCCGACGAUCAAGCGCGUGGGCAGGAGUAUCGAAGACGAUUAGAGACCGUCGUAGUUCCUGCAGUAAACGAUGCCGACAUGGUUGACAUGUGUUGACCAAAGGGAAACCUAGUGUACGGGCUCCGGGGAGAGUACGGGCGCAAGCCAGAAACUUGAAGAAAUUGACGGAAGGACACCACCAGGCGUGGAGUGUGCGGGUUAAUUUGACUCAACGCGGGGCAACUUACCCGGGCCGCAGGAUCGCGAGAAGGACACCUGAUGAUCCUGCACGUGGUGCAUGGCCGUUCUCAACGCAAGGGGUGACCACUGAGUUAGUUCUGGCAAGUCGUGAGGCCCCUGUACAGAUGUAGACGGCUGGCGGCAAGCCAGAGGAAGCGAGGGCGUAUAACAGGUCUGUGAUGCCCGCAGAUGUCCGGGGCUCCACGCGCACUACAAUAGCAAAUGGUGCACGAGAGUAAGUUUGUUGUGGUUGGGAUUGACGCUUGUAAAUGCGUCAUGAACGAGGAAUGCCUAGUAGUUGUUUGUCAGAAGCGAGCAACGAAUAAGUCCCUGUUCUUUGUACACACCGCCCGUCGCUAUCUAAGAUGGUGGUGCGGAUGAAGGCUGCUCAGUGGCAAGAAUCCGUGCUGCUAGAUUGGAUACAAGUCGUAACAUGGUUGCAGUAGGUGAACCUGCCGCAGGAUCAAGA
rfam:Anopheles epiroticus strain epiroticus2 unplaced genomic scaffold supercont1.1634, whole genome shotgun sequence.